CCUACGGGUGGCAGCAGUGAGGAAUAUUGGUCAAUGGACGAGAGCCUGAACCAGCCAAGUCGCGUGAAGGAUGACUGCUCUAUGGUUUGUAAACUUCUUUUAUAUGGGAAUAAAGUGAUGAACGUGUUCCUUUUUGUAUGUACCAUAUGAAUAAGCAUCGGCUAACUCCGUGCCAGCAGCCGCGGUAAUACGGAGGAUGCGAGCGUUAUCCGGAUUUAUUGGGUUUAAAGGGAGCGUAGAUGGGUUGUUAAGUCAGUUGUGAAAGUUUGCGGCUCAACCGGAGAAUUGCAUCUGAAACUGUUGGUCUUGAGUGUAGAAGAGGAGAGUGGAACUCGAUGUGUAGCGGUGAAAUGCGUAGAUAUUAGGAAGAACACCGGUGGCGAAGGCAGCUUACUGGACAGUAACUGACGUUGAGGCUCGAAAGCGUGGGGAGCAAACAGGAUUAGAUACCCGAGUAGUC
rnacentral:rRNA from 1 species